rnacentral:misc_RNA from 1 species
UCUCCGUAGGUGAACCUGCGGAGGGAUCAUUACUGAGUGAGGGCCUCCGGUCCGACCUCCAACCCUUUGUGAACCAACACUGUUGCUUCGGGGGCGACCCUGCCUUUCGGGCAGUGCGCCCCCGGAGCCCAUCAAACCCUGCGUAACUAAGUCGUCGGAGUUUAAACAAAUUAAACAAAACUUUCAACAACGGAUCUCUUGGUUCGGGCAUCGAUGAAGAACGCAGC